AUAUUGGGUAAUGGGGUCAACCGUGAUCCUGCCAUGCCGUGUGUGUGUAGAUGGACUUCGGAUAGUAAAGUAAUUUAAGUUGGGAGGAAGGGCUUUAGGCUAAUACCCUGAAGUUUUGACGUUACCAACAGAUUAAGCACCGUCUAACUCGGUCCCAUCAGCCGCGGUAAUACAGAGGGUGCAAGCGUUAAUCGGAAUUACUGGGCGUAAAGCGCGCGUAGGAGGUUCAGUAAGAUGGGUGGGAAAUACCCGGGCUUAACCUGCGAACUGCUUUCAUAACUGCUGAGCUAGAGUACGGUAGAGGGUAGUGGAAUUUCCUGUGUGCGGUGAAAUGCGUAGAUAUAGGAAGGAACACCAGUGGCGAAGGCGACUACCUGGACUGAUACUGACACUGAGGUGCGAAAGCGUGGGGAGCAAAC
rnacentral:rRNA from 1 species